GAGUGGCGAACGGGUGAGUAACACGUGGGAAACCUACCUCUUAGCAGGGGAUAACAUUUGGAAACAGAUGCUAAUACCGUAUAACAAUGACAACCGCAUGGUUGUUAUUUAAAAGAUGGUUCUGCUAUCACUAAGAGAUGGUCCCGCGGUGCAUUAGCUAGUUGGUAAGGUAAUGGCUUACCAAGGCGAUGAUGCAUAGCCGAGUUGAGAGACUGAUCGGCCACAAUGGGACUGAGACACGGCCCAUACUCCUACGGGAGGCAGCAGUAGGGAAUCUUCCACAAUGGGCGAAAGCCUGAUGGAGCAACGCCGCGUGUGUGAUGAAGGGUUUCGGCUCGUAAAACACUGUUGUAAGAGAAGAAUGACAUUGAGAGUAACUGUUCAAUGUGUGACGGUAUCUUACCAGAAAGGAACGGCUAAAUACGUGCCAGCAGCCGCGGUAAUACGUAUGUUCCAAGCGUUAUCCGGAUUUAUUGGGCGUAAAGCGAGCGCAGACGGUUAUUUAAGUCUGAAGUGAAAGCCCUCAGCUCAACUGAGGAAUUGCUUUGGAAACUGGAUGACUUGAGUGCAGUAGAGGAAAGUGGAACUCCAUGUGUAGCGGUGAAAUGCGUAGAUAUAUGGAAGAACACCAGUGGCGAAGGCGGCUUUCUGGACUGUAACUGACGUUGAGGCUCGAAAGUGUGGGUAGCAAACAGGAUUAGAUACCCUGGUAGUCCACACCGUAAACGAUGAGUGCUAGGUGUUUGAGGGUUUCCGCCCUUAAGUGCCGCAGCUAACGCAUUAAGCACUCCGCCUGGGGAGUACGACCGCAAGGUUGAAACUCAAAGGAAUUGACGGGGACCCGCACAAGCGGUGGAGCAUGUGGUUUAAUUCGAAGCAACGCGAAGAACCUUACCAGGUCUUGACAUCCCUUGACAACUCCAGAGAUGGAGCGUUCCCUUCGGGGACAAGGUGACAGGUGGUGCAUGGUUGUCGUCAGCUCGUGUCGUGAGAUGUUGGGUUAAGUCCCGCAACGAGCGCAACCCUUAUUACUAGUUGCCAGCAUUCAGUUGGGCACUCUAGUGAGACUGCCGGUGACAAACCGGAGGAAGGUGGGGAUGACGUCAAAUCAUCAUGCCCCUUAUGACCUGGGCUACACACGUGCUACAAUGGCGUAUACAACGAGUUGCCAACCCGCGAGGGUGAGCUAAUCUCUUAAAGUACGUCUCAGUUCGGAUUGUAGGCUGCAACUCGCCUACAUGAAGUCGGAAUCGCUAGUAAUCGCGGAUCAGCACGCCGCGGUGAAUACGUUCCCGGGUCUUGUACACACCGCCCGUCACACCAUGAGAGUUUGUAACACCC
rnacentral:rRNA from 1 species